rnacentral:rRNA from 1 species
UGGGGAAUUUUGGACAAUGGGCGAAAGCCUGAUCCAGCAAUGCCGCGUGUGUGAAGAAGGCCUUCGGGUUGUAAAGCACUUUUGUCCGGAAAGAAAUCCUUGGCUCUAAUACAGUCGGGGGAUGACGGUACCGGAAGAAUAAGCACCGGCUAACUACGUGCCAGCAGCCGCGGUAAUACGUAGGGUGCAAGCGUUAAUCGGAAUUACUGGGCGUAAAGCUGCGCAGGCGGUUUGCUAAGACCGAUGUGAAAUCCCCGGGCUCAACCUGGGAACUGCAUUGGUGACUGGCAGGCUAGAGUAUGGCAGAGGGGGGUAGAAUUCCACGUGUAGCAGUGAAAUGCGUAGAGAUGUGGAGGAAUACCGAUGGCGAAGGCAGCCCCCUGGGCCAAUACUGACGCUCAUACACGAAAGCGUGGGAGCAAACAGGAUUAGAUACCCUGGUAGUCCACGCCCUAAACGAUGUCAACUAGUUGUUGGGGAUUCAUUUCCUUAGUAACGUAGCUAACGCGUGAAGUUGACCGCCUGGGGAGUACGGUCGCAAGAUUAAAACUUAAA